rnacentral:rRNA from 1 species
UUCAACUUGAGAGUUUGAUCCUGGCUCAGGACGAACGCUGGCGGCAGGCCUAACACAUGCA